AGUGAACGCUGGCGGUAGGCCUAACACAUGCAAGUCGAACGGCAGCACAGUAAGAGCUUGCUCUUACGGGUGGCGAGUGGCGGACGGGUGAGGAAUACAUCGGAAUCUACUUUUUCGUGGGGGAUAACGUAGGGAAACUUACGCUAAUACCGCAUACGACCUACGGGUGAAAGCAGGGGAUCUUCGGACCUUGCGCGAUUGAAUGAGCCGAUGUCGGAUUAGCUAGUUGGCGGGGUAAAGGCCCACCAAGGCGACGAUCCGUAGCUGGUCUGAGAGGAUGAUCAGCAACACUGGAACUGAGAAACGGUCCAGACUCCUACGGGAGGCAGCAGUGGGGAAUAUUGGACAAUGGGCGCAAGCCUGAUCCAGCCAUACCGCGUGGGUGAAGAAGGCCGUCGGGUUGUAAAGCCCUUUUGUUGGGAAAGAAAAGCAGCAGGUUAAUACCCCGCUGUUCUGACGGUACCCAAAGAAUAAGCACCGGCUAACUUCGUG
rnacentral:rRNA from 1 species